rnacentral:rRNA from 1 species
UUCGCCCUUAGAGUUUGAUCCUGGCUCAGGAUGAACGCUGGCGGCGUGCUUAACACAUGCAAGUCGAACGGAGCACCCCUGAUGGAGUUUUCGGACAACAGAUGGGAAUGCUUAGUGGCGGACGGGUGAGUAACGCGUGAGUAACCUGCCUUGGAGUGGGGAAUAACAGCUGGAAACAGCUGCUAAUACCGCAUAAUGCAGUUGGGUCGCAUGGCUCUGACUGCCAAAGAUUUAUCGCUCUGAGAUGGACUCGCGUCUGAUUAGCUGGUUGGCGGGGUAACGGCCCACCAAGGCGACGAUCAGUAGCCGGACUGAGAGGUUGGCCGGCCACAUUGGGACUGAGACACGGCCCAGACUCCUACGGGAGGCAGCAGUGGGGAAUAUUGGGCAAUGGGCGCAAGCCUGACCCAGCAACGCCGCGUGAAGGAAGAAGGCUUUCGGGUUGUAAACUUCUUUUCUCAGGGACGAAGAAAGUGACGGUACCUGAGGAAUAAGCCACGGCUAACUACGUGCCAGCAGCCGCGGUAAUACGUAGGUGGCAAGCGUUAUCCGGAUUUACUGGGUGUAAAGGGCGUGUAGGCGGGAAAGCAAGUCAGAUGUGAAAACCACGGGCUCAACCUGUGGCCUGCAUUUGAAACUGUUUUUCUUGAGUACUGGAGAGGCAGACGGAAUUCCUAGUGUAGCGGUGAAAUGCGUAGAUAUCAGGAGGAACACCAGUGGCGAAGGCGGUCUGCUGGACAGCAACUGACGCUGAGGCGCGAAAGCGUGGGGAGCAAACAGGAUUAGAUACCCUGGUAGUCCACGCUGUAAACGAUGGAUACUAGGUGUGGGGGGACUGACCCCCUCCGUGCCGCAGUUAACACAAUAAGUAUCCCACCUGGGGAGUACGAUCGCAAGGUUGAAACUCAAAGGAAUUGACGGGGGCCCGCACAAGCGGUGGAGUAUGUGGUUUAAUUCGAAGCAACGCGAAGAACCUUACCAGGGCUUGACAUCCCGCUGACCGGCAUAGAGAUAUGCUUUUCUCUUCGGAGACAGCGGUGACAGGUGGUGCAUGGUUGUCGUCAGCCCGUGUCGUGAGAUGUUGGGUUAAGUCCCGCAACGAGCGCAACCCUUAUUGUUAGUUGCUACGCAAGAGCACUCUAGCGAGACUGCCGUUGACAAAACGGAGGAAGGUGGGGACGACGUCAAAUCAUCAUGCCCCUUAUGUCCUGGGCCACACACGUACUACAAUGGUGGUUAACAGAGGGAAGCAAAACCGAGGUGGAGCAAAUCCCUAAAAGCCAUCCCAGUUCGGAUCGCAGGCUGCAACCCGCCUGCGUGAAGUUGGAAUCGCUAGUAAUCGCGGAUCAGCAUGCCGCGGUGAAUACGAGGCCGGGCCUUGCACACACCGCCCGUCA